rnacentral:rRNA from 1 species
CACGGAGGGUGCAAGCGUUAUUCGGAAUCACUGGGCGUAAAGAGCGCGUAGGCGGUCUCUCAAGUCAGAUGUGAAAGCCCGGGGCUUAACCCCGGAAGUGCAUUUGAAACUAAGGGACUUGAGUAUGGGAGAGGGAAGUGGAAUUCCUGGUGUAGCGGUGAAAUGCGUAGAUAUCAGGAGGAACACCGGUGGCGAUGGCGACUUCCUGGACCAAUACUGACGCUGAGGCGCGAAGGCGUGGGGAGCAAACAGG